rnacentral:rRNA from 1 species
CAGCAGCCGCGGUAAUACAGAGGGUGCAAGCGUUAAUCGGAAUUACUGGGCGUAAAGCGCGCGUAGGUGGUUUGUUAAGUUGGAUGUGAAAGCCCCGGGCUUAACCUGGGAACUGCAUCCAAAACUGGCAAGCUAGAGUACGGUAGAGGGUGGUGGAAUUUCCUGUGUAGCGGUGAAAUGCGUAGAUAUAGGAAGGAACACCAGUGGCGAAGGCGACCACCUGGACUGAUACUGACACUGAGGUGCGAAAGCGUGGGGAGCAAACAGGAUUAGAUACCCCAGUAGUCCCUGUCUCUUAUAC